UGCCGAAACCCGGGAUCGAACCAGGGACCUUUAGAUCUUCAGUCUAACUCUCUCCCAACUGAGCUGUCUCUGC
rnacentral:tRNA from 1 species